AGAGAUGUAGCUCAGUGGGUAAAGUGCUGACCUGGCAUGCCCAGAGCCCUGGGUUCAAUUCCCAGUCUCUG
rnacentral:tRNA from 1 species